GACGGAGGGUGCUAGCGUUGUCCGGAAUCAUUGGGCGUAAAGCGCGCGUAGGCGGCCCGGUACGUCCGUUGUGAAAGUCAAAGGCUCAACCUUUGAACGCCGAUGGAUACUGCCGGGCUAGAGUCCGGAAGAGGCGAGUGGAAUUCCUGGUGUAGCGGUGGAAUGCGCAGAUAUCAGGAGGAACACCAAUAGCGAAGGCGGCUCACUGGGCCGGUCCUGACGCUGAGACGCGAAGGCGUGGGGAGCGAACGGG
rnacentral:rRNA from 1 species